rnacentral:sRNA from 1 species
AACAUAUAUACCCAUUUAUAGUCGGAAUUAAAAUCUGUUUUGUUUACAUUUUUGGGCAAGCUAGUGCAUGCUUUAAAACAUGGCUUUGUGCGAAUUGGCGUGUAAACAUGUAAAUAUAAACACAUCCUCGUUUUGAUGGACGGCUUAGUCAGUUGGUUUUGUUAUAAGUUCGGGUGCGCAUCGUUACAGCGGAAAAAAACAACAUGCAGAAAAAGACGUUAAAAUUAUUCAAGUCCAGUGGAGGUGCCGAGGAAAAAUUGAUGAUGAUUUUAAAAGACUUGACGGCAAUUCGCAACUAUUUAUUCAACAUGUUACUUCAUUCAUCAAUUGCAACGAAUACCAAAAAAUUGUUUUGUAGACAUUCUAGGCGGCCAAUCAACAACUAACUUUGGCUUUUUGCAACAUAAAAAAAGAAAAAUGCAAAGAACGAGUUGAAGAAUACGGAUAUAAAUCAUCUAAUAAAAACAAAU